CACCGGGGAGAUGCGAUCAGGGCACCGGAUAGGGCCGGGCACCGGCACCGACGGGGAUGCGCGGUCUCGCCCUCAGAAGCCGCCUCAGGGUCCGGGCCCCGUCCGGACGGCCCGUGAGGGGAGCCCCGCUCCGAACCGAACCGAACCGAGCUCCUCGGCCGCGCCAGCGCCGUGAGGGAUUUUCGCUGUUUUAGCCAAAGUCCCGCCCGUGAGAAUCCCCCCACAUCCGCGCCCCGGUGUCGGAGCGGCCCGUGCGGCCCAGCGAGGAGGGAGGGAUGCGUGGGUUCGAUUUUAUCCUGGGCACGGGGAGCCUCCGUGCUGGGUUAGGGUGGUGGGAAAAAAAGAUGUGUCAGAGUUUUGUCAGAAAAUCAGUAUAAGCAGAACUGUCGCUCGUGAAAGGUCUAGAAAGGUCUGCUGAGGGAGCUGGGGGUGUUUAGCAGGAGAAAAGGAGGCUCAGGGAGAUCUCAUCUCAUCUCUCUGUGACUCCCUGAGAGGAGGGUGUAGCCAGGUGAGGACCCAUCUUCCUGCUGUGCCUGCAGAGGAGCCAAAGAUGAGACAGGGGCAAUUCAAAUUAGAUGUAAUAAAAAGUGUUCACUGUCAGCGUGGUCGGUCAGUGGAAUAGGUUCUUGCUCAGGUUCAAGAGACAUCUGAAACUGGUGCUGGGUGAUGUGGGUUACUGGGUUAGGAGUUACAGGGGCAGUGCUGGGCUGGUGCUUGGACAGGAUGGUCCUGAAGGUCUCUUCCAAGCAUGGCUACUCCAUGACUCAAUGAUUCUGGAGGCCUUGGCUCAGUCACAGAUCCAUAACUGAGCUGCUUAACUUGGUUCUCUGUAAGUCACUUCUGUGGGCUUCAUCCUAUGAGCAUUUGAGCACUGAAGUAAUUUCACUUCCAUGAGUCGUUCGAUAAAAUGAGCAAUCCUAUUUAUAAGUUAGUGAGUUGUAAAAUGUAAUUGGCACUAUACAGUCAUUCACUGUCAUGCCUUCAUUUGGGAGGAUGGCAUGCAGUGAUGUACGUGAAAUUUUGAGAUUUAUUUUUAUGAGAGGAUUUUAUUAUUAGUCAGAUAAAACCACCAAAAAAAUUUUUUCACAAACAUCUCAUCCUGGAAUGGCUCUGAAAUGAAGGCACAUAUCAAAGAGAAAAGCAGAAAUGAAAAUACAGAAAAUAACAAAAUUUAAAAGUUAUAUAAUUUAGAAAGUUGAUAAAGUGCAGUAUCUCUUUACAGUUAAGUUAAAUAGUUUUCAGGAAAUCUAGGCUUAAUCUAGAGUGUCUUUGCAUAUAUGGAACAGCAUAACAGACUUGCUUUUGUAUAUAACAUUCCCUAAUUAGUGAUUUUUCCAUGAUUGUUGCUGGACUAAAACCUGCUGGACUAAAACAAUUUCUUGUGCUACUGGUUUGUUGGUGUCUUGGGGGUUUUUUUUAACAUUUUAACAUAAUGAUUUACACUAUGUAGCUUUUUGUUAUUACAAGUGUGAAAAUGAGCAACUAAUUUCUGAAACUAAACUGUGAAGCAGCAAUGAAUGUCAGCCUUUCUAAGUAAGCACAGGAGACAUAUGGGCCCAGGUGACCCAAGUGGCAAUGUGGCAUAAUUUUUGGGACAUGAUGUCAUAGGCUGUUCUUUUAUAAGUUGCCCAGAUCUGCAGUCAUACUCCAGUUCUAGAUAUCACCUAAAAUGUAAAAAAAAAAAAAAGUGAAAUACUGUAGAUUCAAUACAAAAUGCUGCAACAAAGUAUUUUCCCUGCUUUUGUGUCACAGCACAGAUAACAGGAUUAAAUCUCAAUGCUCUUUGUAACAAAGGAGCAAAGCAAUAAUGCCCCCAGCCAGGGUGCUAAGCUGAUCCAACAACUUAUGAAACAGAAUAUAUCUUCUCUAAAAAUAAAAAUAAGUACUUCAAAGGGCAGAGGGCUCAUGAGGUGCUAGUUGUGCUCUGUGCCAGAUGUACAGAUGUGAAAUGCUGCAAAGACAAGCACAAUGGGAUGGGAGCCAUCGUCAGCAAAGGUGCUGUGGCUCUGGAAGCUUGUGCCAGAGCUGUUCCUCUUUGGAUACAAAAGUCAGGAGGACAAAAAAAAAAGUUGUGCAAAAGAAUGUGUAAACUAAUUGUUCACCCUGAGUACUCUGAAAAAGAAAAUCUUGUAUGUCCAGGCAUGUUUGCAUUGUCCAGGACAUUUGUACUUGCAUCUUUGCUUGCCCAGAAGUAAUAACAAUAGCUAACUUCACAGUAGGAUUAAUUGCAUAAAUGACUCACAGAAAAAAAAUAAAUGCAGGAUUCAGUCAAGAUGGACAUUUCACAUCGACAGGAAGCCAAAUUUUAGAGGAAACAUCAAUGAGGUUAAAAAUUAAUUUCUCACAAAUCUGAACAAUUUUUUUCUGGAUUGCUUUUGCUAUGGGUUGUUUAGUGUUACAGAGAAAUGAAAUAGUAAAGCUGGAAGAAAACUGACACACCAGCAUUUUGAGCAGGGCAACCUAAGAGAUGGCAAAUGACUUCAUAUUACAAGGAACUGGUGAGCAGUGGCAUCCUUAACACUGAAUUUUUGAUUAAAUAAAUAUACCCACUUCCACCAGAUGCUUUAUUUGAACAGUAUUAGCAUGACAAAAGAGACUUUAAGCCCACUCAUCACAGCACAGCAAUUAGUGGGGACUUUGGCCAAACCUGUUUAGCAAACAAAGGGGACAUGAAUAAAUAUCUUGCAAGAUUAAACAGAUUAGUUGAUAGAAAAAUUUAAUUUUGAAGUCGAAUUUCAAAUCACAAGAGUUAACAUUGGAAAGAAGUAUGUCCUUUAGCCAGAUAAGCCUCACCAAAUUCUUGGUCUCAGAAGAGAAAAAACCCUGUGUACGUGCUGCAGGGAUUAGCUGGCCCGAACUGUUCUCUGUUGUGCAGGAAUGCUUAUAGACAACCUCAGGCUGCUGUGGGAGAGCAGAGCCUCUCAAAUUAUCUCAGAAAGGGCGAUGUGGUAUUGCACAGGCCUCAAACAUUGGAUUCAAAUCGGUCCCAAUUGCUCCUGAAGAUAAACAUGCUCUCCUACACUGUCUGUCUUGGGGUUUGCAGUCAUGUGUACUUUCCCUGGAAAGCUGGAACAAUAACAAAGACAGUGUUUGUCAGCUUUAAUAAAGUGAUGUGCUCCUUGGAGCUGACUGUGGGGCACUGCUUAGCCUGUGUGCCUUUCUGGGGUACCAUUCUCUCUGCUGUCAGGGAAAAGCCUGAAAUCACAUAUAAAGACAGCACAGCUAUCAAAGAUUGCCACGUUUGGGUGCAUUUACCUGAUGUCACUAAAAAAUUGUGCAUGAAUUUUUAUGCCAUCUAUGUAUUUCAGAAAAACCCACCAAAGACAGUAACUGAUAAAUGCUGCUAUCAGCUGUUCUGUGCUGGAACAGAUUUGACAGCAGCCAAAUUAACUCCAGCAAUGCAGAGCGUAUUCCUGCAUCAACAGCAUUCCAAAUGUCAACCCAGGAUUUGGAAAAAAGAAACUUGCACAUGAAGAUACUUAACCAGUCCUACAGAUCCAAAGGGAGUUUGGACAGGAAUGAGUGGAUGAAUCACCAGCACUCAAAGUUAUCAUGGAACUACUUUUGCUAAAUCAAAGAUGGCAUUAGGAAGAAAAAGAAUAUACAGCUGAGGUAAUCACCACUGUGUUAGCAGAGGAGGUGAAGCUCCAGAGCCAAGCGUGUUUCUUGGGUCUGGCUGCAAAGAGAGGAGACUCAAUUCUCUGUCUACUCAAGAGGAAGCUCAGUAAAGGCAGGCAUCAAAGAAAGACCCAGGGGCACACAAGGAAGCACUCAAAGCUCACUGGGAGAAAAACUGAGGUGUUUUGUGAAGUAGCAAGGUGGAAAGUGCUUGCCCCUCACCUUUGGAAGGCACAUGAAUAAUGCAUGCAGGACAACAUCGUGUUCUCAGGAUAGCAAGGAGCUGUGUCAGCUUCUUCUGAGCUCUCCUGGAUAGAAGAUUUUUUUCAUCAAAAGCAAGGAUCCUCCUCAGCAACAAAAGCAACUGUGUGAGCACAAGCAGUGAACAGCUUGGAUUGGCCAACUGCUAUAAUUUUGGAUCAUUGAUGAUAAGAAGAGAUUCAGAAGCAGCACAAAAAGCAGCAGCACUUCAAACUGUCGAUUUUGGAAGAAGGUUGAUUAAACCAGUACCCCUGAUAUUUUCUCAUCCAGCUUCUUUCUUAACAUUAGGGGACAGAGUUGGGACCUCGAAUGAGGGCAAAUUAAAAUAAAAGGAAGCUUUCUUUGUCACAGUGCAACCUGCUUAGCCCACUUAGAGUCAACAAGCAAAUUGCAAAAAAGGAAAUGGCAAUAGACAGUUGCAGUGGUAUUUUUAAGAACCUAGUAGCAAGGGGAGAUCAUUCAGGUCCUGAUCAGUUCCAGCAGGGGGUUUUGCUUGGGCCUUUUUGAGGACAGUAGAAAAAGCAGCUUAAAAAAAACUUGAUUGCAUUCUGCAAUUCUGCAUUCUGCAGCAUUAACUUAAGUCAUUACUCCAGCAGAUCAGACGUUGUCAAAGCUGCACACCCCAGCAUGUGUUCAACACUGGGAGGUUGCCUGAAGCUGAUUCCCCAGACCAACAAUCUUUGGUUUAACUGAGCUGAAACUACAAUUCCACAUUUGUAAGAGCAGAGUCUGUAAUGGCAUCUAAAGGAAAAUUAAAAUGGGUCUUUGCUCAGAUUAAAGGCGGUGUUUUUAUCAGCACGGAAUAAUUUACGUUUGGAAACUUUUGCCCUCCAGGUGGGUAUGUCCAGCUACAUCACUGCUAUGGAUUAGAAGGAAUCCUUGAAGGAACAUAUUCCUCUUAGGAAGAAUGUUUGAAUUUUCAGCUAUGUUAGUAUAAACUCAGCUUCAGACAGGGUAUAAAUCUGAUCACUACAUUUAAUCUUGCCCUAGCACGGAAUAUGAAUCACGACUAAUGGGUGUGUCUCGGGAUAAGGGCUGUGAAUUCUCUACACAGAAAUUUACAACUGUGAUUAUUAUCAACGCAAUAAACACCAGCUUAUAAAUGCCUCAGCUGCAGAGCAGAGCUGCAUGGCUGAAGUCUU